UACGUAGGGUGCAAGCGUUGUACGGAUUUAUUGGGCGUAAAGAGCGUGUAGGCGGCUUUGCAAGUCCGUUGUGAAAACUCGAGGCUCAACCUCGAGACGCCGGUGGAAACUGCAAAGCUAGAGUCCGGAAGAGGAGAGUGGAAUUCCUGGUGUAGCGGUGAAAUGCGCAGAUAUCAGGAAGAACACCCGUGGCGAAGGCGGCUCUCUGGGACGGUACUGACGCUGAGACGCGAAAGCGUGGGGAGCGAACAGG
rnacentral:rRNA from 1 species